rnacentral:rRNA from 1 species
UACGUAGGGGGCAAGCGUUGUUCGGAAUGACUGGGCGUAAAGGGUGCGUAGGCGGUGUAGCAAGUUAGAAGUGAAAUACCUAGAGCUUAACUCAGGUGCUGCUUCUAAAACUGCUAUACUUGAGUGCAGUAGAGGAAAGUGGAAUUCCUAGUGUAGCGGUGGAAUGCGUAGAUAUUAGGAGGAACAUCAGUGGCGAAGGCGACUUUCUGGACUGUAACUGACGCUGAGGCACGAAAGUUUGGGGAGCAAACAGG